AGGACGAACGCUGGCGGCGUGCUUAACACAUGCAAGUCGAGCGGAAAGGCCCUUCGGGGUACUCGAGCGGCGAACGGGUGAGUAACACGUGAGUAACCUGCCCUUGGCUCUGGGAUAGCUCCGGGAAACCGGAAUUAAUACCGGAUAUGACUUCGGCCGACAUCGGCUGCGGUGGAAAGAUUAUCGGCCAGGGAUGGGCUCGCGGCCUAUCAGCUUGUUGGUGGGGUAACGGCCUACCAAGGCGACGACGGGUA
rnacentral:rRNA from 1 species